rnacentral:rRNA from 1 species
CCCUAUGGGGUGCAGCAGGCUGUGCCAUCAAGUCCGGGACAUGGCACAUCGAGACGUACUCGUAGCCUAGGGUAUCCAUGUACCGAUGCAAGGCGCCACGAUUGGAAGCUCGGACAUGUAGUGAAGCGUAAUGUGCACCAAAGGUAGUCUCCAUUGCGGCAUCUGUGGAACGGCAAGGGCCGCGGUGAGGAGUUGUUCCGGAGAGGCAAUCAGCAUGACGAACACGUAAGGAUGUCUCAUUCGUACGUGCUGCUGCCAUGAGUUUUGUUGCAAGUCCAAGCUUUCUAUGUGACCGUGCUACGGCGAGCGACGUGAUGUGCCCGUGUGUUACCGUGGAUUCUUCCUCUCUGCGAAUUGGCGGGGGGGC